ACAGUAGUAAUUAAUAAUUAACAAUACUCUCAGUAAACAAAUGGAUAUUCUACAAGGCAGCUCUAAGCACUAAACUAGAAUCAAACAAAACACAAAGGCAAGAGAAUGUGUGUGUGUGUGUGUGUGAAUGUGUGUGUAAGAGAGAGAGGGA